GAAAAUGGCUGUGAAAAAGGGCGUGGUUGCGCCAAUCGCUUGGUUGAAGGAGACCGGGAGGUAGCGAAGGGAGGUGUUGCCACAGACGACAGAGAAA